rnacentral:rRNA from 2 species
GUAGGGAUACCCGCUGAACUUAAGCAUAUC